GAAGGACACCCGCUGUAUGAUUGUCCGAGGUACGAGAGAGCUACGGUGCAGGAACGAUGGAGGAUGGCAAAGGAGUCACGC
rnacentral:pre_miRNA from 1 species